AGAGUUUGAUUCUGGCUCAGGAUGAACGCUAGCUACAGGCUUAACACAUGCAAGUCGAGGGGCAGCAUUUUAGUUUGCUUGCAAACUAAAGAUGGCGACCGGCGCACGGGUGAGUAACACGUAUCCAACCUGCCGAUAACUCGGGGAUAGCCUUUCGAAAGAAAGAUUAAUAUCCGAUAGUAUAUUAAAACCGCAUGGUUUUACUAUUAAAGAAUUUCGGUUAUCGAUGGGGAUGCGUUCCAUUAGUUUGUUGGCGGGGUAACGGCCCACCAAGACUACGAUGGAUAGGGGUUCUGAGAGGAAGGUCCCCCACAUUGGAACUGAGACACGGUCCAA
rnacentral:rRNA from 1 species